AUUGAACGCUGGCGGCAGGCCUAACACAUGCAAGUCGAGCGGGGACUUCGGUCCUAGCGGCGAACGGGUGAGUAAUGCUUUGGGAUCUGCCCAGUAGUGGGGGAUAACGUCCCGAAAGGGACGCUAAUACCGCAUACGUCCUACGGGAGAAAGAGGGGGAUCUUCGGACCUCUCGCUAUUGGAUGAGCCCAAGUCGGAUUAGCUAGUUGGUAGGGUAAUGGCCUACCAAGGCGACGAUCCGUAGCUGGUCUGAGAGGAUGAUCAGCCACACUGGAACUGAGACACGGUCCAGACUCCUACGGGAGGCAGCAGUGGGGAAUAUUGGACAAUGGGCGAAAGCCUGAUCCAGCCAUGCCGCGUGUGUGAAGAAGGCCUUCGGGUUGUAAAGCACUUUAAGCGGGGAGGAAGGUUCGCGGCCUAAUACGUCGCGGAAUUGACGUUACCCGCAGAAUAAGCACCGGCUAACUCUGUG
rnacentral:rRNA from 1 species